CAGGAAGGGCCAGGAGAAAGAGCAAACUGGAGCAGGAAAGCUACAAAGUGCAUGUAUCUCCGAAGCUCAGAAACCUUCCAGAAGAUAUAGAGAGCUUCACCAUGGAGCUUUGUUUGACAUUCAAGCUGUGAUGUGUGGGGCAUCAAUAUGGAUAAUGAGAGCACUGACGGUAUUGAUUCACACAAUGAGGCUACACAUUAUCACCUGAUGUUUAACAUGGAAGGAGGGAAGUCUUCUAUUUGUGUGCUGAGUCCUUCUUAAAACCAACAUAUUCCACCCAGUAUUCCCUGCCACCUCACCCAUCCUCUCCAUCAAUUUCCCAAGAA